UGAUGCCUACGGGGGGCAGCAGUCGAGAAUCAUUCACAAUGGGGGAAACCCUGAUGCAGCGACGCCGCGUGAGCGAUGAAGUAUUUCGGUAUGUAAAGCUCUAUCAGCAGGGAAGAAAAUGACGGUACCUGACUAAGAAGCCCCGGCUAACUACGUGCUAGCAGCCGCGGUAAUACGUAGGGGGCAAGCGUUAUCCGGAUUUACUGGGUGUAAAGGGAGCGUAGACGGCAGUGCAAGUCUGAAGUGAAAGGCAAGGGCUCAACCCUUGGACUGCUUGGGAAACUGUGCUGCUCGAGUGUCGGAGG
rnacentral:rRNA from 1 species